rnacentral:lncRNA from 1 species
GUACACUGGCCAGGUCCCUGCUAAUAUUAUUUCCAGCUGCGAGUUUUAUUUUCCAGUGGCCUUCUCAUUUGAGCGGGGGAGAGGGAACAAUGUACACCCCUGGGGUGCUAAAAUAUCCAGGCGUGUUUGCCGACUAAUGGAGGUUUGUCUAUUGAAAGUCCACUCCCAUAAGGAACAAAGGAGCUUUCACAUCAGAAAAAAAAAAGAAAGAAAGAGAGAGAGAGAAAGAAAGAAAGAAAUGUCAGGCAUACAAGCUGUGUCUCAAAUGUAACAGGAAGGACAUUACUGUUUUCCACAAAAAUCUGUCUCCUGGCCUAAGCCUAAAUACUCACUUGUGAAUCCCUUAGAGAGGAUUGGUGGCUGUAACCAAAAACUUCAAGAUCUUGUUUUCCAAAUCCCUUUGAGACAUUGAGAUAUAUGUGGGACUACUUUGGGACUACUUUAGGACUCCUCAGAAGGUUGUGUAAAGUGGAUUCACCACAGACCACCAUCACCUUGGACCCUCCAGUGAAGGGGUGUGCAGAAAAGUUCUUGGCCAUGUACCUCCUAUCGCCACAGGGCAUUGCCUUGAAGAGGCUCCAUUCCAGUGAGACACACCUGGGUUGA